AGCGAACGCUGGCGGCAGGCCUAACACAUGCAAGUCGAACGAAGUCUUCGGACUUAGUGGCGGACGGGUGAGUAACACGUGGGAACGUGCCUUUAGGUUCGGAAUAACUCAGGGAAACUUGUGCUAAUACCGAAUGUGCCCUUCGGGGGAAAGAAUUAUCGCCUUUAGAGCGGCCCGCGUCUGAUUAGCUAGUUGGUGGGGUAAUGGCCCACCAAGGCUACGAUCAGUAGCUGGUCUGAGAGGAUGACCAGCCACAUUGGGACUGAGACACGGCCCAAACUCCUACGGGAGGCAGCAGUGGGGAAUCUUGCGCAAUGGGCGAAAGCCUGACGCAGCCAUGCCGCGUGGAUGAUGAAGGUCUUAGGAUUGUAAAAUCCUUUCACCGGUGAAGAUAAUGACUGUAGCCGGAGAAGAAGCCCCGGCUAACUUCGUGCAGCCGCCGCCGUAACAC
rnacentral:rRNA from 1 species